AAGGCUUACGGUUAGCUGGUCUGAGAGGAUGGUCAGCCACACUGGGACUGAGACACUGCCCAGACUCCUACGGGAGGCUGCAGUCGAGGAUCAUUGUCAAUGCGCGAAAGCGUGAACAUGCGACGCUGCGUGGAGGAUGACGGCCUUAGGGUUGUAAACUCCUGUCAUUCGGGAAAAAUUGCACCGGAGUCAAUACCUCCGGUGCCUGAUGGUACCGAAAGAGGAAGCCACGGCUAACUCUGUGCCAGCAGCCGCGGUAAUACAGAGGUGGCAAGCGUUGUUCGUAUUUACUGGGCGUAAAGCGUGCGUAGGUGGCAUCGUGUGUCGGAUGUGAAGGCCCAUCGCCCAACGGUGGAAAUGCAUUCGAAACUGCGGAGCUUGAGUACAGGAGGGGAGAGCGGAACUCUUGGUGUAGCGGUGAAAUGCGUUGAUAUCAAGAAGAACACCGGUGGCGAAGGCGGCUCUCUGGAAUGUAACUGACACUGAGGCACGAAAGCUGGGGGAGCAAACAGGAUUAGAUACCCUGGUAGUCCCAGCCGUAAACGGUGUGCACUUGGUGUGGUGGGGAUUGGCCCUCUCCGUGCCGGAGCUAACGCGUUAAGUGCACCGCCUGGGGAGUACGGCCGCAAGGCUAAAACUCAAAGAAAUUGACGGGGGCCCGCACAAGCGGAGGAGCAUGUGGCUUAAUUCGAUGCAACGCGAAGAACCUUACCAGGGCUUGACAUGUAGCUGCACGCCCCGUGAAAGCGGGGAAGCCUUCGAGGGUGCUACACAGGUGCUGCAUGGCUGUCGUCAGUUCGUGCCGUGAGGUGUUGGGUUAAGUCCCGCAACGAACGCAACCCCUAUGUUUAGUUGCCACCGCCGGUGAUAAGUCGGCGAGCACUCUAGACAGACUGCCCGUACAAGCGAGAGGAAGGUGGGGACGACGUCAAGUCAGUAUGGCCCUUACGCCCUGGGCUGCACACGUGCUACAAUGGCCGGAACAGAGGGACGCAAUACCGCGAGGUGGAGCAAAUCCCGAAAAUCGGCCCCAGUUCGGAUUGGAGUCUGCAACUCGACUCCAUGAAGUUGGAUUCGCUAGUAACGGCGCAUCAGCUACGGCGCCGUGAAUACGUUCCCGGGCCUUGUACACACCGCCCGUCACAUCAUGAAAGCCGUCUGCACCCGAAGUCGCUGAGCCAACCCUCACGGGAGGCAGGCGCCGAAGGUGUGGGUGGUGAUUGG
rnacentral:rRNA from 1 species